rnacentral:rRNA from 1 species
UGCAAAUCAAUAUAAAUUGAUAAUUGAUAUUUUAAUAUUUAUUUAUUAUUAUUUAUUAUAUUUAUUUAUUUAUAAUUUAUUAAAAAUAAUUAUAUAAUUUAUUGUUUUAGUAAUUUUUAAUGAAAAAAUAAUUUUAAUAAUAGUUUAUUAAGUAUUGUGAAAGGUUAUUGAAAUAAUUGAAAAAUUUUUAUUUUAAAAGAAAAUUUAAUUUAUUGUACCUUGUGUGUCAGGGUUUAUUAAAUAAUUAAUAAAUAUUUAUUUAUCUCGAUUUUAUAAGAGUUAAUAAUUUAAAAAAGUUAAUGUGUCAAAAUUAUUUUUAAUAAAUUAUUAGAAAUGAAAUGUUAUUCGUUUAUAAAGGUAUCUAGUUUUUUUAGAAAUAAAUUUAAUUUACGAAAUUUUAAUUUUAUUUUUUUUUUAAUAAAAAUAAAAUUUAUUAUUUUGAAUAUUUUAAGGGAUAAGCUUUAAAGUAAAUUAUUAAAAAUUAUUAAGUAUUAUUAAAAAUGUAUGCAUAGAAUUAGCAAUCAUUUAUAAGUUUGUUAUAAAUUAUUUUAUUAAUUUAUUAUUUAUUUUUAUUUUAAUUUUAUAUAAAAAUUUUUAUUUUAAUAUAAAUUGUUAAUUAAUAAUGAUAAAAUUAGUAUAUAUUAUUGUUUAAAUAAUUUUAAUUGAUAAGUUUAUAUAAAGAAUUCGGCAAAUUUUAUUCUCGCCUGUUUAACAAAAACAUGUCUUUUUGUAUUAUAUAAAAAGUCUAACCUGCCCACUGAAAUUUUUUAAAUGGCCGCAGUAUACUAACUGUGCAAAGGUAGCAUAAUCAUUAGUCUUUUAAUUGAAGGCUGGAAUGAAUGGUUGGACGAAGUAUAAUCUGUUUCAUUUAAAUUUAUUAUAGAAUUUUAUAUUUUAGUUAAAAAGCUAAAAUAUAUUUAAAAGACGAGAAGACCCUAUAAAUCUUUAUAUUUUUUUAGUAAUUAAAUUUUAUUGAUUUAUUUUAUUUUUAUAUUAAAAAAUAUUUUGUUGGGGUGAUAUUAAAAUUUAAUAAACUUUUAAUUUUGUUAAAUCAUUAAUUUAUGAUUUUUUGAUCCGUUAAUAACGAUUAUAAGAUUAAGUUACUUUAGGGAUAACAGCGUAAUUUUUUUGGAGAGUUCUUAUCGAUAAAAAAGUUUGCGACCUCGAUGUUGGAUUAAGAUUUAUUUUUAGGUGUAGCCGCUUAAAUAUAAAGUCUGUUCGACUUUUAAA